GGCAUGAAAGGUAUGUAGGUUGACAGAAGAGAGCGAGCACACGGCGGCAAUUGCACCGAUUUGAUGCUGUUUCUGUUGCGUGCUCGCUCCUCUUUCUGUCGGCUCUCUCCACCUCUUUGUCCCGCGCCU
rnacentral:pre_miRNA from 15 species